rnacentral:rRNA from 1 species
CGCCGCGGUAAUACGAAGGGGGCUAGCGUUGCUCGGAAUCACUGGGCGUAAAGCGCACGUAGGCGGAUCGUUAAGUCGGGGGUGAAAUCCUGGAGCUCAACUCCAGAACUGCCUUCGAUACUGGCGACCUUGAGUCCGGGAGAGGUGAGUGGAACUCCGAGUGUAGAGGUGAAAUUCGUAGAUAUUCGGAAGAACACCAGUGGCGAAGGCGGCUCACUGGCCCGGUACUGACGCUGAGGUGCGAAAGCGUGGGGAGCAAACA